GGUGAUCGAUGUUAGCUAUUUUCCUGCAUCCAGCAGCCACAAUAGUCAUCGGUGUACUGCCACAAGAGGAGUUAUUUUACAGAGCAACAUGUUUUCUUCCUCGCAGGUUUAACGUCGAUUAUUUAAUUGUUUUACUAUCUUUUCAAAAAAAAAAAAAAUCUAGAACUCCGCAUGUGUUAGUAAUAGUGUGGACCUUGUUAGAAAUUGUGUUAAUUUAAAAUUUUGAGACUAAUAAAUGAAGAUUUGUAUGGUAUUUAAACAGUUUGUAAAUGAGGUAACAGGGUUGAGCGAGGCUCCCCUUAUUUCA